rnacentral:rRNA from 1 species
AGAGUUUGAUCAUGGCUCAGGAUGAACGCUAGCUACAGGCUUAACACAUGCAAGUCGAGGGGCAGCAUGUUGGUUGCUUGCAACCAAUGAUGGCGACCGGCGCACGGGUGAGUAACGCGUAUCCAACCUACCCUUGUCCAUCGGAUAACCCGUCGAAAGGCGGCCUAACACGAUAUGCGGUUCACAGCAGGCAUCUAAGGUGAACGAAAUGUGAAGGAGAAGGAUGGGGAUGCGUCUGAUUAGCUUGUUGGCGGGUAACGGCCACAAGGCGACGAUCAGUAGGGGUUCUGAGAGGAAGGUCCCCCANAUUGGAACUGAGACACGGUCCAAAACUCCUACGGGAGCA